CCUACGGGUGGCAGCAGUGAGGAAUAUUGGUCAAUGGGCGGGAGCCUGAACCAGCCAAGUCGCGGGAGGGAAGACGGUCCUAUGGAGUGUAAACCUCUUUAGGCGGGGAGCAAUGCCGGGCACGUGUGCCCGGAGGGAGAGUACCCGCAGAAUAAGCAGCGGCUAACUCCGUGCCAGCAGCCGCGGUAAUACGGAGGAUGCGAGCGUUAUCCGGAUUGAUUGGGUUGAAAGGGUGCGUAGGCGGAUUUUUAAGUCAGCGGUAAAAUGUCCGGGCUCAACCCGGGCCGGCCGUUGAAACGGGGGAUCUUGAGUGGGCGAGAAGUAUGCGGAAUGCGUGGUGUAGCGGUGAAAUGCAUAGAUAUCACGCAGAACUCCGAUUGCGAAGGCAGCAUACCGGCGCCCGACUGACGCUGAGGCACGAAAGCGUGGGGAUCGAACAGGAUUAGAUACCCUGGUAGUC
rnacentral:rRNA from 1 species